GCACUUUGGCAGCACAUAUACUAAAACUGGAAGAGUACAGAGGAUAUUAGCAUGGCUGCUGUGCAAGGAUAACACACAAUUAAUGAAGCAAUGCAUGGAACAU
rfam:Pelecanus crispus contig63256, whole genome shotgun sequence.